AACGUACGCUGGCGGCACGCCUAACACAUGCAAGUCGAACGAAGUAGCAAUACUUAGUGGCAGACGGGUGAGUAACAUGUAGGUAUCUGCCCUUUGGCCUGGAAUAACACGAGGAAACUUGUGCUAAUACCGGAUAAGUCUUUACGGAGAAAGCUUUAUGCACCAUUGGAUGAGCCUGCACUUGAUUAGUUUGUUGGUGGGGUAAUGGCCUACCAAGACUGUGAUCAAUAGCUGAUUUGAGAGGAUGAUCAGCCACAUUGGGACUGAGACACGGCCCAAACUCCUACGGGAGGCAGCAGUGGGGAAUCUUGCACAAUGGAGGAAACUCUGAUGCAGCGAUGCCGCGUGAGUGAAGAAGGCCCUUGGGUUGUAAAGCUCUUUCGUCGGGGAAGAAAAUGACUGUACCCGAAUAAGAAGGUCCGGCUAACUUCGUGCCAGCAGCCGCGGUAAUACGAAGGGACCUAGCGUAGUUCGGAAUUACUGGGCUUAAAGAGUUCGUAGGUGGUUGAAAAAGUUAGUGGUGAAAUCCCAGAGCUUAACUCUGGAACUGCCAUUAAAACUUUUCAGCUAGAGUAUGAUAGAGGAAAGCAGAAUUUCUAGUGUAGAGGUGAAAUUCGUAGAUAUUAGAAAGAAUACCAAUUGCGAAGGCAGCUUUCUGGAUCAUUACUGACACUGAGGAACGAAAGCAUGGGUAGCGAAGAGGAUUAGAUACCCUCGUAGUCCAUGCCGUAAACGAUGUGUGUUAGACGUUGGAAAUUUAUUUUCAGUGUCGCAGGGAAACCGAUAAACACACCGCCUGGGGAGUACGACCGCAAGGUUAAAACUCAAAUGAAUUGACGGGGACCCGCACAAGUAGUGGAGCAUGUGGUUUAAUUCGAAGAUACGCGCAGAACCUUACCAACACUUGACAUGUUCGUCGCGACUCUAAGAGAUUAGAGUUUUCGGUUCGGCCGGACGAAACACAGGUGCUGCAUGGCUGUCGUCAGCUCGUGUCGUGAGAUGUUGGGUUAAGUCCCGCAACGAGCGCAACCCUCACUUUUAGUUGCCAUCAUUAAGUUGGGCACUCUGAAAGAACUGCCAGUGAUAAGCUGGAGGAAGGUGGGGAUGACGUCAAGUCCUCAUGGCCCUUACGUGUUGGGCUACACACGUGCUACAAUGGUAUUUACAACAGGAAGCAAGACUGCGAAGUUAAGCAAAUCCCUAAAAAAUACCUCAGUUCGGAUUGCACUCUGCAACUCGAGUGCAUGAAGCUGGAAUUACUAGUAAUCGUGGAUCAGCGUGCCACGGUGAAUGCGUUCCCGGGUCU
rnacentral:rRNA from 1 species